GACGAACGCUGGCGGCGUGCUUAACACAUGCAAGUCGAACGGAGUGGCGAACGGGUGAGUAACACGUGGGUGACAUGCCCUGCACUUCGGGAUAAGCCUGGGAAACUGGGUCUAAUACCGGAUAGUGUGGGAUGGGCCCGCGGCCUAUCAGCUUGUUGUGGGGGUAAAGGCCUACCAAGGCGGCGACGGGUAGCCGGCCUGCGAGGGUGGACGGCAACCUUGUGACUGCGACACGGCCCAGACUCCUACGUGACGCAGCAGUUGGGAAUAUUGCACACUGGGCGGAAGCCUGAUGCAGCGGCGCCGGGUGGGGGAUGACGUCCUUCGGGUUGUAAACGCCUUUCACCAUCGACGCGGUAGAUGGAGAAGAAGCACCGGCUAACUACGUGCCAGCAGCCGCGGUAAUAC
rnacentral:rRNA from 1 species